rnacentral:rRNA from 1 species
GAUGAACGCUGGCGGCGUGCCUAAUACAUGCAAGUCGAGCGAACAGACGAGGAGCUUGCUCCUCUGACGUUAGCGGCGGACGGGUGAGUAACACGUGGAUAACCUACCUAUAAGACUGGGAUAACUUCGGGAAACCGGAGCUAAUACCGGAUAAUAUAUUGAACCGCAUGGUUCAAUAGUGAAAGACGGUUUUGCUGUCACUUAUAGAUGGAUCCGCGCCGCAUUAGCUAGUUGGUAAGGUAACGGCUUACCAAGGCAACGAUGCGUAGCCGACCUGAGAGGGUGAUCGGCCACACUGGAACUGAGACACGGUCCAGACUCCUACGGGAGGCAGCAGUAGGGAAUCUUCCGCAAUGGGCGAAAGCCUGACGGAGCAACGCCGCGUGAGUGAUGAAGGUCUUCGGAUCGUAAACUCUGUUAUUAGGGAAGAACAAAUGUGUAAGUAACUAUGCACGUCUUGACGGUACCUAAUCAGAAAGCCACGGCUAACUACGUG